rnacentral:sRNA from 1 species
UUGAUGUUCUAUUUGAGUUUCUUUUGUCUAAAUUUUCAGGCAUCCAUUUUCCUUGACUUCAGGGCCACAAGAUGAUUACCUCAGUGUGCACAUUAGAACACUCGGAGACUGGAGUUACCAAAUAUAUGACCUAUUCCAAGAGGCAGUGUUAUCACGAUCACAGGGAUGUCCAAAACUGUACAUAGAUGGCCCUUAUGGUUGUGCUGCUCAAGACCAUGUAAAGUAUGACAUUCUGGUACUAAUUGGUCUUGGAAUAGGAGCCACACCUUUCAUUAGCAUCCUGAAAGAUGUAGUUAUAGGUGUCCAGACAACAGAAAUUGAUCAUAGUGGUCUCAGAAAUUGCAGCUUAACGAAGGGUCCAUUAAAAGCAUAUCUUUAUUGGGUCACUAGAGAGCCAAAUUCUUUUGACUGGUUUAGAGAUGUCAUGAAGGAAAUCUCAAAUUCAAACAAAAAGCAGUCCGUUGUGGAGAUGCACAAUUUCCUGACCAGUGUACAUCCAGAAGGAGAUAUUCGUUCAGCUUUGCUAAGUGUCAUUCAGGCCUUGCAUCUUGCCAAGAAUGGCACUGACAUAGUUUCCAGGACUCC